GUGUGCCUACGGGGCGCAGCAGUAGGGAAUUUUCGUCAAUGGGCGCAAGCCUGAACGAGCAAUGCCGCGUGAACGAGGAAGGUCUUCGGAUCGUAAAGUUCUGUUGAAGGGGAAAAAGAGCGGAGAGAGGAAAUGAACUCCGAUUGAUAUUACCCUUCGAGGAAGUCACGGCUAACUACGUGCCAGCAGCCGCGGUAAUACGUAGGUGGCGAGCGUUAUCCGGAAUGAUUGGGCGUAAAGGGUGCGUAGGCGGCCUGCUACGUAUGAAGUGAAAGGUACCGGCUCAACCGGUACA
rnacentral:rRNA from 1 species